rnacentral:rRNA from 1 species
CACGUAGGAGGCUAACGUUAUCCGGAUUUACUGGGCGUAAAGCGCGUGCAGGCUGUUCAAUAAGUUAGGCGUGAAAGCUCCCGGCUCAACUGGGAGAGGUCGUUUAAUACUGUUGGACUAGAGGAUGGUAGAGGGAGGUGGAAUUCCGGGUGUAGUGGUGAAAUGCGCAGAUAUCCGGAGGAACACCAGUGGCGAAAGCGGCCUCCUGGACCAUUCCUGACGCUCAGACGCGAAAGCUAGGGUAGCGAACGGG